AGUACUUAUUUAUAGAGUGAUGGGGUGACGCAUCGAGAUUUGUAAGAGCUUAUUAAGGAUUUGAGUCGAAAGAGUAAGGUUUUUAUGACGUUAGUCAUAAAGGUAGUUGCAGGAAAAUCCACAACUAUUGAUACUGAGCUUGAUCGGGAUUUAACUCCUCGGAGUUAGAAAUUCUUAUCGUUUUGGUGCCGAGAAAAACCUCUAAACUUAAUCUAUAGAUAACCCGUACCCAGAUCAGACACUUGUGGGGUGGUAGAGAAUACUAAGAUAAUCGAGAUAACUAAUGGGUAAGGAACUUGGCAAAUUAGCGGACGUACUUUCGAAAUAAGUCCUGUCCCGAGCAAUCGGGAUCGCAGCGAAAGAGAUGGGGGGAACUGUUUAUCAAAAACACAGCUCGCUGCUAACUCGUAAGAGGAUGUAUAGCGGGUGAUGCCUGUCCAAUGCCAGAAUGUUAUGCUCUCUUGUGCAAGCUCGAGGGUUAAGCACUGGUGAAUGACGGCCGUAACUAUGACGGUCCUAAGGUAGCGAAAUUCCUUGUCAGGUAAGUUCUGACGCGCAUGAAUGGCAUAAUCAUCCCCAUGCUGUCUUACCCUUAGACUCGGUGAAAUUACAAUCCCGGUAAAAAUGCCGGGUAGUCACAGUUAGACGGAAAGACCCUGUGAAGCUUUACUGUAGAUUGAUAUUGGAUUGUAGCAUGUCUUGCUCAGUAUAGGUGGGAGGCUUUGAUGUUUCGACUUCGGUUGGGGCGGAGCCAAAAGUGAGAUACCACCCAAAAUAUGUAGCAGUUCUAAUCCCUGUGUUGGGAGACAGUUUCAGUUGGACAGUUUACCUGGGGCGGGUGCCUCCUAAAAAGUAGCGGAGGCGUGCAAAGGUUUGCUUACUACGGAUGGAAACCGUGGUGAAUGUGUAUUCGCAUAAGCAAGCUUGACUGUGAGACUGACAGGUCGAGCAGAUACGAAAGUAGGCGAAAGUGAUCCGGAUCUUCCAAGUGGAAGGGGAUCCGCUCAACGGAUAAAAGUUACUCCGGGGAUAACAGGCUAAUGGAAUCUAAGCGUUCAUAGCGACGAUUCCGUUUGGCACCUCGAUGUCGACUCGUCGCAUCCUGGGGCUGUAGAAGGUCCCAAGGGUUGUUCACCCAUUAAAGCGGGACGCGAGUUGGGUUCAGAACGUCGUGAGACAGUUCGGUCCCUAUCUACUGUGACCGUAGGAUAUUUGAGAGAUGCUGACCCUAGUACGAGAGGACCGGGUUGGACGAGCCUCUGAUAGUACCAGUUGUUCCACCAGGAGCACGGCUGGAUAGUUAAGCUCGGAAAAGGUAACCGCUGAAAGCAUCUAAGUGGGAAACUUGUCUCAAGAUUAGAUAUCCCUCUCCUUUAUGGAGGUAAGACCUCUGGUAGACUACCAGUUUGAUAGGCAUUAAGUGUAAGUCCUGUAAGGGAUUGAGCUGAGAUGUACUAAUUGGUCGAGCGGGUUUAUC
rnacentral:rRNA from 1 species